rnacentral:snRNA from 1 species
GGAUGUAAGGGUGUUCUGGCUAUGACAUCCGUCACCCCACUGAUCUCCAUGUUGAUUUAGCUGAUGUGACUGGCUAGGCGGGUAUCCCCUUCCUCCCUCACUGCUCCAUGUGCUUCCCUCCUAACGCUGUGCUCUUACUAAGACCUUCCCCAAUAGAGGAGAACUGUUUUUUGGUCAAGGGUAUAGAAGCAGCUGUGCUCUCUUGCUAGAACCUCCAAACAGGCUCUCAAAGUAGACAGAAAAUGAUCAUACUAGUAUAACUCAAAAGGAAAAGGAGCUGGGAGAGUUAAAUUU